ACUCAAAGGAAUUGACGGGGGCCCGCACAAGCGGAGGAACAUGUGGUUUAAUUCGAUGAUACGCGAGGAACCUUACCCGGGAUUGAAAUGAAGUGGAAUAACGGUGAAAGUCGUUAGCCAGCAAUGGCCACUUUGUAGGUGCUGCAUGGUUGUCGUCAGCUCGUGCCGUGAGGUGUCGGCUUAAGUGCCAUAACGAGCGCAACCCUGACUGUCAGUUGCUAACAGGUAAAGCUGAGGACUCUGGCGGGACUGCCGGCGUAAGCUGUGAGGAAGGUUGGGAUGACGUCAAAUCAGCACGGCCCUUACAUCCGGGGCGACACACGUGUUACAAUGGCACGGACAAAGGGUUGCUACCUGGUGACAGGAUGCUAAUCUCUAAACCGUGUCUCAGUUCGGAUCGGAGUCUGCAACUCGACUCCGUGAAGCUGGAUUCGCUAGUAAUCGCGCAUCAGCCAUGGCGCGGUGAAUACGUUCCCGGGCCUUGUACACACCGCCCGU
rnacentral:rRNA from 1 species